rnacentral:sRNA from 1 species
AUCUUUAGUAAACGCUAUGAAUUGGCAGCCAGAUUUGGAGUGAAGUGAAUGUGAGUGAAGCUGGAAGCAGAUUCUGCAAGAAACCCAAAUGUUGCAGGGGGGUUUUCCGAGCGUCAGUCUUAGGUCUCUCAGUACCCCCUUUGACACUCGUGGCCACACUCUUCUGCCAUGCCCAUUACAGUGACUCACUCGGAACUGCUUGGGAAUCAGUGACUUGGCAGUUUUAGGAUGAAGCUUCUACCAACCUGAGUGUCUGAGUAAGAUGAGCAGAAUUCCCUCACCCACCAAUGCUAUAGAUCAAGUUAAAGAAUAAUCCUUGGUAAAUCAUGGCUGCAGGUGACUGAUGGAAGUUUCAGAGGCUGGACUGGAAGAUGAAACUGGGGCAAGAUGUUACACAGCAUGGCCUCAGGAACCUGAGCUCCAGCAACCUGCGGGUCCCAAUGGAGGCAAAGUCAAGGAGCGUCUCAGGGAGUGGUUGAUGUGUGAAGUCUCUGUCUGUCCAUCUGAAUAACAAGAAGUGGGGCUUGUGAUUUUCCUCCACU